rnacentral:sRNA from 1 species
GGAAGUAGAUGGGUGCUCAACUAAUGACGCACUAGAGAUUCAAACAGCUCUUAGAAAGUUUGUGUUGUUCAAUGCUGCCAGGGUAUCGAUUGACUGUUGACAUCUACUUAAACCUCUACUUCGAACACAGAACCGUACAAUGACCAAACAAG